rnacentral:rRNA from 1 species
CGGUCGACGUACGUCAGAGGAAGUUUGUAGUUAUAGGCGUCACGAACGAACGACGUCGGCGGCGCGUUAGUCGAUGCAAGUCGAGCGGCAAGGGCCUUCGGGCCCUAGAGCGGCGGACGGGUGAGUAACACGUGGACAAUCUGCCCCCCGGCCCGGGAUAGCCCAGGGAAACCUGGAUUAAUACCGGAUGAGACGGGACCCGCGAUGGCGGGAUCCGGGAAAGGCGCUGCGGCGCCGCCGGGGGAUGAGUCUGCGUCCCAUUAGCUAGACGGCGGGGUAACGGCCCACCGUGGCGACGAUGGGUAGCCGGCCUGAGAGGGUGGACGGCCACAUUGGAACUGAGACACGGUCCAGACUCCUACGGGAGGCAGCAGCUAAGAAUCUUCCGCAAUGGGCGAAAGCCUGGCGGAGCGAACCGCCGCGUGAACGAAGAAGGCCGUGAGGUUGUAAAGUUCUUUUCGGGAGGGGGAACAACCGUGGCAGGGAAUGGCCGCGGGAUGACGUGAAUCCCGGAAUAAGCCCCGGCUAACUACGUGCCAGCCGCCGC